UCGGGAAUUUUGCGCAAUGGCCGCAAGGCUGACGCAGCAACGCCGCGUGAGUGAAGAAGGCCUUCGGGUUGUAAAGCUCUGUUGCCCGUGAAGAAACCUGAUCUCAGGAAAUGGGGAUCAGCUGACGGUAACGGGAGAGGAAGCCCCGGCUAACUACGUGCCAGCAGCCGCGGUAAUACGUAGGGGGCGAGCGUUGUCCGGAUUUAUUGGGCGUAAAGGGCGUGUAGGCGGCCAAGUAAGUCAGAGGUGAAAACCCAGAGCUCAACUCUGGGACUGCCUCCGAAACUGCAUGGCUUGAGUGCUCUAGAGGGCAGUGGAAUUCCCGGUGUAGCAGUGAAAUGCGUAGAGAUCGGGAGGAACACCAGUGGCGAAGGCGACGUGCCGUGGGGAGUAACUGACGCUGAGGCGCGAAAGCGUGGGGGAGCGAAACGGGAUUAGACUACCCCGGUAGUCCCGAGCCGUAAACGAUGAGUG
rnacentral:rRNA from 1 species